CAUCUCACUUACAUCCAGUCUCUCAGAGAUCACUGUCCUGUGUUGCCAAAUGUCCCAUGUCUUAAGAGCUGGAGAGGAAGGGGGAAGGGAGAGGUGGGUGAGGAGGGGGAGGGUGA
rnacentral:miRNA from 1 species